AGGACGAACGCUGGCGGCGUGCCUAACACAUGCAAGUCGAACGGAGAUUUCAGCAAUGGAAUCUUAGUGGCGAACGGGUGAGUAACGCGUAGACAACCUACCGCUUAGAUGGGGACAACACUGCGAAAGUGGUGCUAAUACCGAAUGUUGUAGUGAGAAUGCAUAUUUUUACUACUAAAGAUGGCCUCUAUUUAUAAGCUAUCGCUAAGUGAUGGGUCUGCGUCUGAUUAGCUAGUUGGUGAGGUAAUGGCUCACCAAGGCGACGAUCAGUAGCCGGUCUGAGAGGAUGAACGGCCACACUGGGACUGAGACACGGCCCAGACUCCGUACGGGAGGCAG
rnacentral:rRNA from 1 species